rfam:TPA: Bos taurus chromosome 8, whole genome shotgun sequence.
UCCCUGAUAGUUCAGUUGGUAAAGAAUCUGCCUGCAAUGCAGGAGACCCUGGUUCGAUUCCUGGGUUGGGAA